rfam:Synergistes sp. 3_1_syn1 genomic scaffold supercont1.2, whole genome shotgun sequence.
GCAAAUGCAAUGACUGGAAAGAAGUAGGUCUGCCGGAUGUCCUACAGAGAGCCGCCGGACGGUGCGAGGCGGUGGACGGGCGAACCGAAAUACAUUCCAAGAGCAGCACACCAAAAGGGAUGGCACGCUUCCAUCCGCGAGUAGGCUGUGACGGGUCCGCCCGUGACCGCGGACAGGGUAUACUACAUUUUUUUGUACAGUACCCGACGAGGACGUAUUUCGUGAGAAUACGUCAAACUGAGGUGGUACCACGGGUGAUCAUUCCCCGUCCUCUGG